rnacentral:rRNA from 1 species
UACAGAGGGUGCAAACGUUGUUCGGAAUUACUGGGCGUAAAGCGUGCGCAGGCGGUUUUGUAAGUCUGUCGUGAAAUCCCCGGGCUCAACCUGGGAAUUGCGAUGGAGACUGCAAGGCUAGAAUCUGGCAGAGGGGGGUAGAAUUCCACGUGUAGCAGUGAAAUGCGUAGAGAUGUGGAGGAACACCGGAGGCGAAGGCGGCUUGCUGGGGCUUGGUCUGACGCUGAGGCGCGAAAGCGUGGGGAGCAAACAGG